GUCCUUUCAAAAGCAUCUGAUAAAAUUGAAUGAUACAAAGAAGAUCAGCAAGGUCUCUAUGUAAAGAUGACAUGCACAAAUCGAGAAAUAGUCCAAAUUUUU